UUAGAAGGAUAUUGAAAGCUCAGACUAG
rnacentral:piRNA from 1 species